rnacentral:lncRNA from 1 species
UUUAACCUGUAGAAUAAUGAAUAAUCCUGUUCAGAAACAAAAACAAGAAAAAGAAAAAUGCGUAUUCCUCCUCUCUCUCUCUCUCCACAACUGGUAUAAUCCCAAACACCAUCCCCAAGUCCCCACCCAUCCACCACCACCACCCUCCCACUGUCGCCAGCACCACUUCACCACCCUUACAACAAUAGAUUCAUACAAUCAAAACUUAAACCCAAAAAAUCAACUAUUAAAUAACCUAACCCUAUAUCUAGACACAGCAUGCAUACCUAAUUAAGGAGUUGAUUUGACUGAGAGCGAGCGAGCGAGGGGAGAGAGAGAGAUGGAAGUUCCACCAUCGCUGGGGUUUGGCUCAUGGCCGGCCGACACCGUAAUUGAUUGCUCAGAACCAACACCAAUCUCUCUCUAUUCCACAAUUGAUGGCUCCCGAUCUUCUCUCCCUCUCAUCCCUCUUUCUCCCUGUGGUGUGGGCUAUUUUGAUGUGCGCGCGUGCGUGUACAGAUCUGUCAUAUAUAGAGAGAGAGAAAAACAGAGGUAGAUCAGGGAUUUUAUGAAAACCAAAACCCUAAUUAAGGAGAUAAUUAAGGAGAUAGAGAUUAGAAAAAGAUGGGAAAGAAGAUAGAUUAAAGAUAUAUCCACCACCGUCGGCCAAUUGGAACCACCGCAGCACCUUUGCCACAGCCAAUUGCAGCCGCUGCCACCGCGCUUCCAAUUGCUGUUAGAAUUUUGUGUGAAUGAAAGCCUAAAAAUGAGUAAUAUUAAUAACUCCUAAAUGAGUUAUUGUAAAACCAAAGAGCAUCUGCUUUGCAGCCCUAAUGAUUGCAUUAUUUAGGUCAUAACAUGCCUCUUGUGGCUGUCAUGAUGGGCAGCCAUAAUCUCCUCUGAUGGUGGUUUGGCCAGAAGUUACAAAGAUUAAAUAGGGCAUUUGGUGACCUAUAAAUGCUGGGACUUUGCACUGAAGAAAAAUACACCAACAAAAACACACAGACACAACAUUUGAGUUUUUGAGAGAGAGAGACAAAUCAUUUUCGUUUGCCAAGACUUCUUAGAGGUGUUCCUAAAUAGUGUUCUAGCCGUUUUUAUCCUGGGAGGAAGAACGUCGACAAUACCCUACACAAACCCUCGGUAGGCGUAUAUAAUCGUUUCUUAAGGAGACCUGCGAUUUGGCAGGCCUCGGCAUACUUGUUUGAUAAUAUAGUUCUUUCUAUUUUUAGUUUUCUGUAAUUUUAACUUCUGUAAUUUAGUUUGAUUAUGAAAAUUAUUCUUUAAAUUCUGUAUUGGCCGAUCAUUUUUUUUUCACAACAAUCUUAGAAAUAUUCUGUUUUGGAUCUUGUGAUCGGCAAUCGCAUUUCAGAAAUAAUUUCUGUUCAUUUUAAUGUGAGAUCAGAUCUAUACUGUAAAGAGAAGGUUUGGUAUUCUUUGAUUAUAUCCAGAUCUAUACAUGAAGAAAGUGAGACAAAGGAAGGGAAAAAAAAUUAUUUUCAGAAUCUAUUUAUGAAAAAUAACAGUUCUGUUUGAAAAAAAAAAUUCCAGUUAUAGAAAUUGAUUUCAAUUAUUGUGGAAUCCAGAUUUCAGUUAAAUUUUUUUUCAGAAUACUAGUUUCUAUAUAUUUUAUUUAAGAAAAAAAAUAUUCGAAACUUACCAGAAAAACACUUGGGUCGG